CAAAAAGCGGAGGAAAAGAAACCAACAGGGAUUGCCUCAGUAGCGGCGAGUGAAGCGGCAAGAGCUCAGAUUUGAAAUCUCACCUAGUGUGCGAGUUGUAAAUUGCAGGUUGGAGUCUCGGGUUAGACGUGUGUGCAAGUCCCUUGGAACAGGGUGCCACUGAGGGUGAGAGCCCCGUAUCGUGCAUGUCGACACCUGUGAGGCCCUUCUGACGAGUCGAGUUGUUUGGGAAUGCAGCUCUAAGUGGGUGGUAAAUUCCAUCUAAGGCUAAAUAUUGGCGAGAGACCGAUAGCGAACAAGUACUGUGAAGGAAAGAUGAAAAGCACUUUGAAAAGAGAGUGAAACAGCACGUGAAAUUGUUGAAAGGGAAGGGUAUUGGGCUCGACAUGGGAUUUACGCAUCGUUGCCUCUCGUGGGCGGCGCUCUGGGUUUUUCCUGGGCCAGCAUCGGUUUUCGUUGCAGGAUAAGGACAAUUGGAAUGUGGCUCCUCGGAGUGUUAUAGCCUUUUGUAGAUGCUGCGUAUGGGGACCGAGGGCUGCGGCGGACUCGUCUCUCGAUGCUGCACAACGGCCCC
rnacentral:rRNA from 1 species